rnacentral:rRNA from 1 species
UACGUAGGGUCCGAGCGUUGUCCGGAAUUCUUGGGCGUAAAGAGCUCGUAGGCGGUUUGUCGCGUCGGCCGUGAAAUCUCCACGCUUAACGUGGAGCGUGCGGUCGAUACGGGCAGACUUGAGUUCGGUAGGGGAGACUGGAAUUCCUGGUGUAGCGGUGAAAUGCGCAGAUAUCAGGAGGAACACCGGUGGCGAAGGCGGGUCUCUGGGCCGAUACUGACGCUGAGGAGCGAAAGCGUGGGGAGCGAACAGG